AUUGAACGCUGGCGGCGUGCUUAACACAUGCAAGUCGUGCGGUAACAGGCGUAGCAAUACGUGCUGACGAGCGGCGAACGGGUGCGUAAUACAUGGGAAUCUGCCCUUUAGUGGGGAAUAACCCGGCGAAAGCCGGGCUAAUGCCGCAUAAGAUCUUCGGAUGAAAGCGGGGGAUCGUAAGACCUCGCGCUGAUGGAUGAGCCCAUGUCGGAUUAGCAGUUGGUGAGGUAACGGCUCACCAAGGCGACGAUCCGUAGCUGGUCUGAGAGGACGGCCAGCCACACUGGGACUGAGACACGGCCCAGACUCCUACGGGAGGCAGCAGUGGGGAAUAUUGGACAAUGGGGGAAACCCUGAUCCAGCGACGCCGCGUGUGU
rnacentral:rRNA from 1 species